rnacentral:rRNA from 1 species
AUACGGAGGGUGCAAGCGUUAAUCGGAAUCACUGGGCGUAAAGCGCGCGUAGGCCGCCUUCUAAGUCGGACGUGAAAGCCCUCGGCUCAACCGAGGAACUGCGUUCGAAACUGGGAGGCUUGAGUCCUGGAGAGGGUAGUGGAAUUCCAGGUGUAGGAGUGAAAUCCGUAGAGAUCUGGAGGAACACCAGUGGCGAAGGCGACUACCUGGACCGAUACUGACACUGAGGAGCGAAAGCGUGGGGAGC